rnacentral:rRNA from 1 species
CUACGGGGGGCAGCAGUGGGGAAUAUUGGACAAUGGGGGCAACCCUGAUCCAGCAAUGCCGCGUGUGUGAAGAAGGCCUUAGGGUUGUAAAGCACUUUCACCCGUGAAGAUGAUGACGGUAGCGGGAGAAGAAGCCCCGGCUAACUCCGUGCCAGCAGCCGCGGUAAUACGGAGGGGGCUAGCGUUGUUCGGAUUUACUGGGCGUAAAGCGCACGUAGGCGGCACGAUCAGUCAGGGGUGAAAGGCCUGGGCUCAACCCGGGAACUGCCCUUGAUACUGUUGUGCUAGAGUCCGAGAGAGGGUGGCGGAACUCCCAGUGUAGAGGUGAAAUUCGUAGAUAUUGGGAAGAACACCGGUGGCGAAGGCGGCCACCUGGCUCGGCACUGACGCUGAGGUGCGAAAGCGUGGGGAGCAAACAGGAUUAGAUACCCCGGUAGUC